rnacentral:lncRNA from 1 species
GCGGGACAGGGAGGGCGCGGGGCCGGGCUGCUGGGUCCGAGCUCUGGGCACGAUGUCCUCCCUGACGCCGCCAGGACAGCGCCUGGCCCAGGCCUGGGCCUGGUGAACGCGGGUUUCUUCCUCUGAGGAGAGAGGCUCCUUACACUGACAUUCAAAGUCCUCAAUGACCCGGCCCCAGCCUACCUCUGCAGCCUUAUCUCCCUACAAACCAUCAAAGCAGAACAAAAACCUGUCCCUCCGAUUUAGGUUUUAGCAAACCACAAGAAGCACUUCAUAAACUGGUGACUCAAGUAGAAAAGUACUGUUCCACGCACUUGACACCAAUCCACCCAUUUCACCUGCAUGAUCACCCUGCCUUUGCAUGAGUUGCCGGUGUGGACAGAGCAGGGACACAGUGAGACAGCGGAUUCCAGCUUUGCUCUUACCUAGAACACACUGCCUCUCACCAGGAAUCGUCCUUCCAUUUUAUGCAGUUAUCCCAGACAAUGAUGCACAAGCUUUGGGAAAAAAACCCCACAAGUCCAAAGGUGUACUUCAUAAUAAAGGCAAGUUAUCUGUCA